UAUGUAUAUGUAUACAUAUAUAUAUAUAAAAAAAAAAUAUAUUAUAUUAUAUACACGAUAGUAGUGUACGUCGGUGGUAUACUGGCAUUGAUAUUUUUAUGGUUUUAAACAAAAAUAGUUCAAAAACGAGAGCGAAAGGAAGAGCGAAAGAGAAAAUGUGUGUGUAUGAAAGAAAAAGAGAGAGAAAGAGAAAGAAAGAAAGAAGGGAGAAAAAAGAAAAUAACUCCGACUUUUAUGCGAACGGUAUAAACGGCGUUUGUAAAAUUAACCCAAAAAAGAAAAGAUUUGGGCGAGAAAUGAGGAAACGAGCGUAAUACGUAAAUAAGUACGUAUUAUUAUCACAAGUGUAUUUUCGUGAUAAUCUACUUCUUGUAUCACGAUAACGAAAGAAUGUACGAAAAAGCGAAUAUUGUCUACAUAUUAAAAAUGAGAUAAUAUUGAAAAGAUUAAACGUGGAUUAUUGUUGAGUCAUCGAUGAUGUUUAUAGCGCGGUGAUUUCACGUACAUACAUAGAUAAUAGACAAUAAUUAAGUUCUUUAGUUUUAGGAAACACGUUACAUACACAUACUUACAUACAUAGAGAAAAAGAAAAAUUAAAAGGAAAGAAAGAAAGGGAGAAAAAGAGAAAGAGAGUAUGAUAGUGUCGAUUAUAAUUAUUAAAAAGACAAAUGGAAUGAUCGAACGCUAGGUAACGUAAGUAUUUACUGCACUUGCAUGACUGCGUAUUUCGUAUUAUUUUUCUUUUUGUUUUUUUUCUCCCAGACUGUUUAUUACAAAGAGAUGAUAAUAAUGGCGAGAAAAGAAAGAUAUAAAAAGAGAUAACAAGAAAGAGCAAAAUAAAAUAUUAAAAAGAUUUCUUUCCGAUGCGAUUUAUUUGUCUUUUAGAAAAAAUGACUCGUCUUUUAUCGUUCAAUGCUUUUAGCCACUUUCUUUUUUGGGUUAAUAUCGAUAUCAUGUUUCUAAAAAACCGUGCGAAAUCUUUGAGAAGAUAAGAGACGAUAUGUAAAAAGCACAGAGGAAGAAUGAGAGAGAGAGAGAGAGAGAGAGAGAGAGAGAGAGAGAGAGAGAGAGAAAGAGAGAGAGAGAGAGAGAGAGAAAGAGAGAGAAGGAAAAACAAGAUUUCGUUAUACAGCUGCAUAAAAGUGAAUAGAAUAUUUUUAUAAGUCGUUUCUUGCGCCAGAUCCUAAGCAUACAUAAAUUAAUUGAAAAUAAAGAAAAAAGAAACAUAAAAAAGCUAUACCUACUUGCUAAGUUUUUCAUUGUACGUUCACCAUUGUACUAUAUAUAUAUAUAUAUCUUUUGCAUUGCAUAGAAAAAAGUGUUGCAUAUUGUAUUAUAUAUUUCAUUCUAUAUAUCAAAGAUUAUCUUUGAUAUAAAAGUUCGUGCAUCGAUCACUGCACCCUUAUAUAUUAUUGUUAUUAUUAUUAAUGUUAUUAUUAUUAUUAUAUCAGUAAAUAUAUCAGUGCUUGUAGAGCGUAUGUAUGAGAGAGAAAGAAAGAAUGGGAGAGAGAGAGAGAGAGAGAGAGAGAGAGAGAGACCGAUAGACAGAGAGAAUACACAAGUCUUCCUUUGAAUGAAUGUUUCGAAGAUCGAAAGUUAAGAUAUCUUUCUUUCUUCGAUAUUUCCCUUUCCAAUUUAUAUCAUACGAAUCGAUUAUUCUUCUCAAUACUUUCCCCUUUUUCAUCCUUCGAAAAAUUCUAAAAUCUUAGGUAAAGAAAAUUUCGAAUCUCUUUUUUGGCUCGCUGUUCAUAUUAUAUUUCUAACAUCAUUUUUUAAUCUUAGUUUAUGAAAAAAAAAAAAAAAAAAAAAAAAAAAACGAAAUCGGUGCCAAUCAUUUUCCCGUAUGGACAUACGAGAGUAUAUCGACGUUCUUUGCUUCCUUUACUUUAUUUUUCUACUCUUUUUCUGUUUCUCUCUCUUCCCUCCCUCUCUCUCUCUCUCUCUCUAUCUCUUUUCGCGAGAGAGAUCAAAAUUUAUGCGAGAAGUAAAUGUAUCAAAGGUAAAUCCGAUGAACGUAAUGCGACCUUUUUAGAUUCUUACGUUAAAUGUAUUGAUCGUAUGUAACUUUUGUAAAACCGUCCUUCAUCUCCAUUUCUUCAUCUCUCCGUCCCCAAACCCUUUCAGCUUCCUCGAUUUUCUUCACUAACAUAUCGUUCUUGUUUAGUCGGUCACGCUAAUGAAAUAAAUGGGAAGGCACAGUGGUGAAUGGCGAGAUAAAAGGAAUUUAGUCGAUAUCAAAAGAAAAAAAAAAAAAAAAAACGCAAGAGUAAUCAAAUAAACGUACGUGUAAAGUUGAUAGAUUGUAUAUUUGUGAGAGAAUCUGAUAUAUAACGUUAGAUGUUUAAUAUUUAUAAUUAUAAAAAUAAGUGUAAAACUCUACGAGGUUUUAUCAAUCGAGAGAUCUUUUUCGCAAAGAUAAUAUAAUUAUUGAAAAAGAAAACGAGAGUGUGAGAGAGAAAGAAAGAGAGAGAGAGAGGGGGGGGGGAGAGAGAGAGAGAUCACGAAAAUGAUCUCGUCGAUCGAAUUUAUCCUGUAGACAAAACGUAAUUAUACUUGUUAAGUUUUACGUUCGGCGAUGUAAAACCUCUCGCGUUGAUUAUAUUAUCGAAUCGUGAACGUGCAAUCGCGUAGGCUAUCGAACGAGUAAUAAAAAUAAAAAAGAAAGAAAGAGGGGAAAAAGGAAAGGAAGAAAAUCAUUCGACUAUUGUUUAUUUUAUGAUCGAGAGAAAUUGCGCGGGCCGCAAACGAGCGGGAAAUUUGAAACGACGAAAAAAAAACAAUUAAAAGUAUUUCUAUCUUUAUAAUCGGGAUUGAAAAGUUUCAAGUGUUCUCCAAUGUGAUCGAUAGUUAAAUCGAUAGAUGAAGAGAACUCGAACCUCGCGUUGAAUUUCGCGCCGUCCGUGAUCAUUUUUGUUCCCCAUUAUAAUGAUUUUCUAUGAUCGUUCUUCAACUACUUCCCAUGUAGUUUAUUUGCCUACGCGUAAACGAACGAUUCGAUUUAAUACGAUAAUAAAAAGCAGCUGCGGUAGAAAAGCGAAACGAUCGUAACGACUGCCGUAUUGAGUGAUAGAAGACAAAGAGGGAUGAUAAAGAGAUGUAAAAAAAAAAAGAAAUAUGAAAAACACAAACACGUCUUUCAUUAUUAUAUUAGAGAUUAUGAUAAUGAGCGUAUUACACGAUCGUGCGUAUUAUAUCCGUCAUAUAAGAGUGGAGAUUCGUAAAUGUUUAAUAAGCGUUUCGCGAUGAUGAACCUUAAACUUUGAGGAUCUACAAAUUCUUUUUUCUUUUUCUAUUCAUUAAUUUGUCUGAAAAAUCUAAAUCUUUUUUCGACGUCCUGAAAGAAUCGUUACAUUACUAUUAUUAUUAUUAUUAUUAGUUCGUUGUUUUUUUAAUUAUUAUAUAUUAUUGUUACUAUUGUUAUUAUUUGUCAUCGGACUUUUAAGGUUUAAAGAGACUGCGAUAAUAUAAGACAGGAUAUAAGUAUUACGCGUUAAUAGGAGAAGUAUUAUAAUGGAGGUGUAUUAGACAUAUAUAGGAUAUCAUUUGUAAGUACACGAGCACGAACUUGUUUUACUAUGACAAUGAUGACAAUGACAAUUAUGAUUGACGAUAAUGACGAAAACAAAAACGAAGACGAUGACGAUGACGAUGACGAUAACGAUGACAAUGACGAUAACGAUGAUAAUGAUUAUGAUAAUGAUGACAACGACGAUGACGACGACGACGAUGAUGAUAUCGCACUGUGAAUGAAAUAUUUAUAUUUUUACUUAAGAAAUGGCUCUAAUAACGUUUCUAACGAUUCAUCUCCGCAAGACGGAGAUUUUCAUAAUCUUAUUUUUCUAGAGUAAAUAUCGAAAUAAUUAUUAUUAUGUUAUGACGAAACGUGUUAAUAAGAUGCGAUAAAAAGUAAGCUGCUGAAAGGAGAACACACAAAUCAGAAUAAAGAAUGUGCGUGUUUGUUUAUGUGUGUGUGUAUUGAUCAAAAGAAAGAAAGAAAAAGAGAAAGAGAGAGAGAGAGAGAGAGAGAGAGAGAGAAAUAUUAAAAAAAAGGAAAAAACGAAUGUAUUUCCCGUUUAGCAUGACGCAGCUACAUGUAGAAUUUUCUUCGAAAAAAAGUUGUGUCGAUAUAUCCCACGCAUACAUAUGUAUAUACACAUGUAUAUACAUACGUCUACGUUUUUACUAUGUCUCACAUGUUUAUUCGACAGUAAGAAACUGACUUUAACGCGCUGUAUACGUUUCGCAAGGCGCUUCCAAUCGAUCUACAAGAGCGACGUUUAAAUGCCACCCUCUUGUGGAUCGUAUGUCGUCAAGUUUAUCCUAACAAAUCUUAAAUUUAACGCGCGUACACGUUUCUUUCGUUAUUGUUGCUUUUCACGAAGGAAAUCGAUUCUAAUUUCUAAUCCUAUCGUGUUUUACUUACAAUAUUAACUAUUCUUCUUUUCUUUUUUCUUUUCAAGCGCGAUUCGUCGAUUUAAAGUAAAGAAAGAAAUGUUAGAAAAGAAUGAAUAUAAGAAAUUAAAAAAAGAAAUGUUCGAAUUUGUAGACCCUAUUCAAAUGAGAGUGCGAAACAUGACCAGAUGCGUGAAAAUAAAGCGAUUCGAUAAGUCUAUUGCUGGGAUAGAACAGCUGCGCAAAUUAAGAACGAGCUCUUCUAUCACACAUACACAGAGAUACAUAUAUAUAUAUAUAUAUAUAUAUAUAUAUAUAUAUUUGUAUGCAUCAUACGUACACGCAUAGAAAUAUCAUACAUAUGUACGUUUGAAACGUUACGUGCUUUUACGUGUAUAAGAUGGCUAAAAUAAAAGCUAUGCUGGCUACAUAAAUACACGUGCCUAUAAUGCCGUCGCUUGGGUAUAUACGAGUAAAUACAUUACGUACAUACAUAACCGAAGAUGUAUACAGCGCGUACUCCUACGUUAAUUAAUUAAAUGGCCUGCUAGAUUCGCAAAAAUAGAAAAGUAACAGAAAAUAAAUUGUUGUUUGUGAGAAAUUUUAAUCGAAAUGAAAAGACUUCGUUUGCGAGCUUUUCGAUCGUCGGGGAAAGUUCAAACGUUCAUACCAUUUAUCGUUCGUGAGCGAAAUCAAAGAAGAGAACGAGACGUCAAAAAUAAUCCAUAUUAUUAUUGGCCAUCGAACGUUUCCGAGUAUGUUUCAUUGAUCGUUCGUUUUCGUAAUCCACCAACGUAUAGAACAUAGCUAUAUUUAAAUAUCAAAAUUCCUAAUGUUCGUUAAUUUCCUUUAACAAUGCGCUCCUCAAUUUCUCUAAACUACGUUACCUGCGAAUGAAUGUUUCUAUUCGAAUCUGCUCCACUCACGUUUCGUCGUAAGUUGGAAAAAUAAAAGAUAAAAGAUGACAAAAAAGAAAACAAAAAAGAAAGAAUGAAAAAGCAUUAAAGAUAAAAAAAGGAAAAAGAAAGAAAAAAAGAAAAGCGAGGAGAUGAAGAAAUUAAUAUCUGUAGAGACGGAAACUGUCGUGCAAGAGUAUAGUAUGUGUGAUGUUAGACGUAUACAAUCAUGUUACGUGUAAUGUUGUGUACCGUAAGAUUAGUCGAUAUAAAAGGUGGUGGUGUGUACUGAUGGAAUAUAAUACAUGUAAUCGAGUUACCCCUAAAUACAGCCAUUUUAUAAUGGA